GAUGAACGCUGGCGGCGUGCCUAAUACAUGCAAGUCGAGCGAACAGACGAGGAGCUUACUCCUCUGACGUUAGCGGCGGACGGGUGAGUAACACGUGGAAACCUACCUAUAAGACUGGGAUAACUUCGGGAAACCGGAGCUAAUACCGGAUAACAUGUUGAACCGCAUGGUUCAACAGUGAAAGACGGUCUUGCUGUCACUUAUAGCUGGAUCCGCGUCGCAUUAGCUAGUUGGUAAGGUAACGGCUUACCAAGGCAACGAUGCGUAGCCGACCUGAGAGGGUGAUCGGCCACACUGGAACUGAGACACGGUCCAGACUCCUACGGGAGGCAGCAGUAGGGAAUCUUCCGCAAUGGGCGAAAGCCUGACGGAGCAACGCCGCGUGAGUGAAGAAGGUCUUCGGAUCGUAAAACUCUGUUAUUAGGGAAGAACAAAUGUGUAAGUAACUAUGCACGUCUUGACGGUACCUAAUCAGAAAGCCACGGCUAACUACGUG
rnacentral:rRNA from 1 species